AGAGUUUGAUCCUGGCUCAGGAUGAACGCUAGCUACAGGCUUAACACAUGCAAGUCGAGGGGAAACGACAUCGAAAGCUUGCUUUUGAUGGGCGUCGACCGGCGCACGGGUGAGUAACGCGUAUCCAACCUGCCCACCACUUGGGGAUAACCUUGCGAAAGUAAGACUAAUACCCAAUGACGUCUCUAGAAGACAUCUGAAAGGGAUUAAAGAUUUAUCGGUGAUGGAUGGGGAUGCGUCUGAUUAGCUUGUUGGCGGGGUAACGGCCACAAGGCUACGAUCAGUAGGGGUUCUGGAGAGGAAGGUCCCCCAGACUUGGAACUGGAGACACGGUCCAAACUCCGUACGGAGGCA
rnacentral:rRNA from 1 species